GGGUUGUGAGGUUAAGCGACUAAGCGUACACGGUGGAUGCCCUGGCAGUCAGAGGCGAUGAAGGACGUGCUAAUCUGCGAUAAGCGUCGGUAAGGUGAUAUGAACCGUUAUAACCGGCGAUUUCCGAAUGGGGAAACCCAGUGUGUUUCGACACACUAUCAUUACGUGAAUCCAUAGCGUAAUGAAGCGAACCGGGGGAACUGAAACAUCUAAGUACCCCGAGGAAAAGAAAUCAACCGAGAUUCCCCCAGUAGCGGCGAGCGAACGGGGAGCAGCCCAGAGUCUGAAUCAGCUUGUGUGUUAGUGGAACGGUCUGGAAAGUCCGACGGUACAGGGUGAUAGUCCCGUACACCAAAAUGCACAGGUUGUGAACUCGAAGAGUAGGGCGGGACACGUGGUAUCCUGUCUGAAUAUGGGGGGACCAUCCUCCAAGGCUAAAUACUCCUGACUGACCGAUAGUGAACCAGUACCGUGAGGGAAAGGCGAAAAGAACCCCGGCGAGGGGAGUGAAAAAGAACCUGAAACCGUGUACGUACAAGCAGUGGGAGCCUGAUUCGUCAGGUGACUGCGUACCUUUUGUAUAAUGGGUCAGCGACUUAUAUUCUGUAGCAAGGUUAACCGUAUAGGGGAGCCGAAGGGAAACCGAGUCUUAACUGGGCGUUAAGUUGCAGGGUAUAGACCCGAAACCCGGUGAUCUAGCCAUGGGCAGGUUGAAGGUUGGGUAACACUAACUGGAGGACCGAACCGACUAAUGUUGAAAAAUUAGCGGAUGACUUGUGGCUGGGGGUGAAAGGCCAAUCAAACCGGGAGAUAGCUGGUUCUCCCCGAAAGCUAUUUAGGUAGCGCCUCGUGAAUUCAUCUUCGGGGGUAGAGCACUGUUUCGGCUAGGGGGUCAUCCCGACUUACCAACCCGAUGCAAACUGCGAAUACCGAAGAAUGUUAUCACGGGAGACACACGGCGGGUGCUAACGUCCGUCGUGAAGAGGGAAACAACCCAGACCGCCAGCUAAGGUCCCAAAGUCACAGUUAAGUGGGAAACGAUGUGGGAAGGCACAGACAGCCAGGAUGUUGGCUUAGAAGCAGCCAUCAUUUAAAGAAAGCGUAAUAGCUCACUGGUCGAGUCGGCCUGCGCGGAAGAUGUAACGGGGCUAAACUGUGCACCGAAGCUGCGGCAGCGACACUAUGUGUUGUUGGGUAGGGGAGCGUUCUGUAAGCCGUUGAAGGUGUGUCGUGAGGCAUGCUGGAGGUAUCAGAAGUGCGAAUGCUGACAUAAGUAACGAUAAUGCGGGUGAAAAACCCGCACGCCGGAAGACCAAGGGUUCCUGUCCAACGUUAAUCGGGGCAGGGUGAGUCGACCCCUAAGGCGAGGCCGAAAGGCGUAGUCGAUGGGAAACAGGUUAAUAUUCCUGUACUUGGUGUUACUGCGAAGGGGGGACGGAGAAGGCUAUGUUAGCCGGGCGACGGUUGUCCCGGUUUAAGCAUGUAGGCGGAGGUUCCAGGUAAAUCCGGUACCUUUUUAACGCUGAGGUGUGAUGACGAGGCACUACGGUGCUGAAGUAACAAAUGCCCUGCUUCCAGGAAAAGCCUCUAAGCAUCAGGUAACACGAAAUCGUACCCCAAACCGACACAGGUGGUCAGGUAGAGAAUACCAAGGCGCUUGAGAGAACUCGGGUGAAGGAACUAGGCAAAAUGGUGCCGUAACUUCGGGAGAAGGCACGCUGAUAUGUAGGUGAAG
rnacentral:rRNA from 1 species